rnacentral:rRNA from 1 species
UACAGAGGUGCUCAAGCGUUGUUCGGAUUCAUUGGGCGUAAAGGGUGCGUAGGCGGCGCGGUAAGUCGGGUGUGAAAUCUCGGAGCUUAACUUCCGAAACUGCAUUCGAUAACUGCCGUGCUUGAGGACUGGAGAGGAGACUGGAAUUUACGGUGUAGCGGUGAAAUGCGUAGAUAUUGGGAGGAACACCAGUGGCGAAGGCGGCAUCCUGGACCAAUAUUGACGCUGAGGAGCGAAAGCCAGGGGAGGCAAACGGG